AAGGAUUGAAGUUUCUUGGCAUCAAAAAGGGAAUAGCCUAUGAGUUUUAGGUGAGAUGGAGGUGGUUGACAAGCUACCUCGAUGGUAAAUAUGGGCGGAUUUAGAGUAAUGAGGAUAAUGCUAGAGGCAUAUGGAGCCUGUUUUGGAUGUGGGUCUUGAACCUUUAGCUUAGAGAUUGUCCCUCCAAGGUUGAGGUAAGAUCAGAACUAUCUAUGCGUG
rnacentral:lncRNA from 1 species